rnacentral:rRNA from 1 species
GUGGGGAAUUUUGGACAAUGGGCGAAAGCCUGAUCCAGCCAUGCCGCGUGCAGGAUGAAGGCCUUCGGGUUGUAAACUGCUUUUGUACGGAACGAAACGGUCCUGGCUAAUAUCCGGGGCUAAUGACGGUACCGUAAGAAUAAGCACCGGCUAACUACGUGCCAGCAGCCGCGGUAAUACGUAGGGUGCGAGCGUUAAUCGGAAUUACUGGGCGUAAAGCGUGCGCAGGCGGUGCUGUAAGACAGGCGUGAAAUCCCCGGGCUCAACCUGGGGAUUGUGCUUGUGGCUGCAGUGCGUGAGUGCAGCAGAGGGGGAUGGAAUUCCGCGUGUAGCAGUGAAAUGCGUAGAUAUGCGGAGGAACACCGAUGGCGAAGGCAAUCCCCUGGGCCUGCACUGACGCUCAUGCACGAAAGCGUGGGGAGCAAACAGGAUUAGAUACCCGGGUAGUCC